GUUUAAGAUGAUGACUCAAGCUAUCUAAGAAUAGUGUUAUUUACAAAUGGAGUGGUAAAGAAGAAACAGCUUUCAAGAGAAGAAGGGCCACCAGGAAGCACACCUUCAGGAAACACCAUUUCUGUUCUAGUCCAAAGGGCACCAUCCACCUGGACCAGAAUGUGAGGUGCCCUUUGGAGUUGCACAGAGGUCCUGCCUCUUUCCACCUGCACUGCUGUCACCCUGGCCCGGCCGCCACCCUCUCACUGUAUUUCUGCAGCUGAGACCUAGGCCUUAUGCAAGGGAAGGCCCAGGCCAGGAGGGGCCUCACAGCAAGAGUGAAGGAUGCCUCUUGGACAAAAGAGGAGGGUGGAAGACUGGAUGCCACUGAGAAGCCCUUCCAUGCCCAGGAGCUGGCGCGGCAUGAACUUUGGGAGGCCCCAGAGCCUCUGACCCCCCUUCUAAACCAGCACCGUAUUCUGAUUGGCUGUCUCUGCGUGCCUCGGUUUAUUCUUCUUACUGAUCGACCACCUCCUUCCACCGUGUCAGAUCUCUGUUCCUACUGGGCCAGUCCCCCCACCUGCCACAGGGUCACCCGGGAUGGCCUGGGUUCUGCAAGGCCUCGACGGCUUGCCUCUUGCCACCAUCAGAUUCUUCCUCAUUAAACAAAUGAAUCACAAUCCUAAUUAAUUUGAGCAACAGAAUUUAUGUAACUACUCCCAGCAGGAUGUCUGCUCUCAGUCGGUAGCAAGAUUAAUUCCUCUCUCUGGGAAAUUCCAGCCGUGCUGGUCAAUAAAGCUUUAAU